GUAGUACUCUCUCCGUCCGGAAUUACUUGUCAUCAAAAUGGAUGUAUCUAGAAUUAAAAUACAUCUAGAUACAUCCAUUUCAAUGACAAGUAUUUCCGGACGGAGGGAGUACUGA
rnacentral:pre_miRNA from 1 species